rnacentral:lncRNA from 1 species
AUGAUAAUGUUUGCCUACAGUAAACAGCACACUUGUGAUAGACAGCCCUGGACACACACCCUGAUUUCCUGUAGAAAGAAACCUGGAUUUGCACCUUUACAACGAGCGGGAUAUCAUCCUCCCAGCUUCAUAAGGGAUGAGGAUGCCACCAUAGACUGCCCAAGUUACAUUACAUCCUUCCUUUUAUCUUCAAGGUAUGUUUACUAUUCUGAGCACAAAACAAGUUAUUUAAGAUACAGUCAGUCAUUACAGCUUGAUUUCCAACUGCUUAAAAAGGUGGACCUUGCUUGCACUUUACUUUGGAAAAAAUAAGAAUUCUGAAUUAGUUUCAGAACUACACGAC